rnacentral:rRNA from 1 species
AUUGAGCGCUGGCGGCAGGCCUAACACAUGCAAGUCGAACGGUAGCACAGAGAGCUUGCUCUCGGGUGACGAGUGGCGGACGGGUGAGUAAUGUCUGGGAAACUGCCUGAUGGAGGGGGAUAACUACUGGAAACGGUAGCUAAUACCGCAUAACGUCGCAAGACCAAAGAGGGGGACCUUCGGGCCUCUUGCCAUCAGAUGUGCCCAGAUGGGAUUAGCUAGUAGGUGGGGUAACGGCUCACCUAGGCGACGAUCCCUAGCUGGUCUGAGAGGAUGCCCAGCCACACGGGAACUGAGAGACGGUCCAGACUCCUACGGGAGGCAGCAGUGGGGAAUAUUGCAGAAUGGGCGCAAGCCUGAUGCAGCCAUGCCGCGUGUAUGAAGAAGGCCUUCGGGUUGUAAAGUACUUUCAGCGGGGAGGAAGGUGUUGUGGUUAAUAACCACAGCAAUUGACGUUACCCGCAGAAGAAGCACCGGCUAACUCCGUGCCAGCAGCCGCGGUAA